GAUGAACGCUGGCGGCGUGCCUAAUACAUGCAAGUCGAGCGAACAGACGAGGAGCUUGCUUCUCUGAUGUUAGCGGCGGACGGGUGAGUAACACGUGGAUAACCUACCUAUAAGACUGGGAUAACUUCGGGAAACCGGAGCUAAUACCGGAUAAUAUUUUGAACCGCAUGGUUCAAUAGUGAAAGCCGGUCUUGCUGUCACUUAUAGAUGGAUCCGCGCCGCAUUAGCUAGUUGGUAAGGUAACGGCUUACCAAGGCAACGAUGCGUAGCCGACCUGAGAGGGUGAUCGGCCACACUGGAACUGAGACACGGUCCAGACUCCUACGGGAGGCAGCAGUAGGGAAUCUUCCGCAAUGGGCGAAAGCCUGACGGAGCAACGCCGCGUGAGUGAUGAAGGUCUUCGGAUCGUAAAACGCUGUUAUUAGGGAAGAACAAAUGUGUAAGUAACUAUGCACGUCUUGACGGUACCUAAUCAGAAAGCCACGGCUAACUACGUG
rnacentral:rRNA from 1 species